GCAGCCGCGGUAAUACGGAGGAUGCGAGCGUUAUCCGGAUUUAUUGGGUUUAAAGGGUGCGCAGGCGGCGCGUUAAGUCAGCGGUGAAAUGUCGGGGCUCAACCCCGUCACUGCCGUUGAAACUGGCGUGCUCGAGUACGGAUGAAGCGGGCGGAAUGUGAUGUGUAGCGGUGAAAUGCUUAGAUAUGUCACAGAACACCGAUUGCGAAGGCAGCUCGCUAAUCCGCAACUGACGCUCAUGCACGAAAGCGUGGGGAUCGAACAGGAUUAGAUACCCC
rnacentral:rRNA from 1 species